GGAAUAGCUCAGUGGUAGAGCAUGUGCUUAGCAUGCAUGAGGUCCUGGGUUCAAUCCCCAGUACCUCCU
rnacentral:tRNA from 1 species